GGGGACGUGGCUCAGUGGUAGAGCAUCUGCUUUGCAUGCAGAAGGUCCUAAGUUCAAUCCCCAGCAUCUCUU